rnacentral:rRNA from 1 species
UACAGAGGUCUCAAGCGUUGCUCGGAUUCAUUGGGCGUAAAGGGUGCGUAGGUGGCAGAGUAAGUCGGGUGUGAAAUCCUGGGGCUCAACCCCGGAACUGCACUCGAUACUGCUUUGCUUGAGUACUGGAGAGGAGACUGGAAUUUACGGUGUAGCAGUGAAAUGCGUAGAUAUCGUAAGGAAGACCAGUGGCGAAGGUGAGUCUCUGGACAGUUACUGACACUGAGGCACGAAGGCCAGGGGAGCAAACGGG